rnacentral:rRNA from 1 species
CACGUAGGGUGCGAGCGUUGUCCGGAAUUCUUGGGCGUAAAGGGCUCGUAGGCGGUCUGUCACGUCAGGAGUGAAAACUCGGGGCUCAACCCCGAGCCUGCUUCUGAUACGGGCAGACUGGAGGUAUGCAGGGGAGAACGGAAUUCCUGGUGUAGCGGUGAAAUGCGCAGAUAUCAGGAGGAACACCGGUGGCGAAGGCGGUUCUCUGGGCAUUACCUGACGCUGAGGAGCGAAAGUGUGGGGAGCAAACAGG